rnacentral:tRNA from 1 species
GGGCGAUUGAGCCGCCUUUGGCGGCCAAAGCGCUUAGGACGCUAUCCCGUAGGGGUCCGCCGGUUCGAAUCCGGUCCCGCGCA